AAAGUGGCCCUUUCUUCCGUAAAGUGCAUUGGUGUUUCAUUCAUUGAGGAAAGUGAAAUAAUAAUAUCAGAGGCCACCAAGAAUACAUCUGCCGUUUUUAGAAUUGUUUCAAAAAUGGAAUCUAAUAAUACUGGCAGAGAAUGUUUAUGGAUUAGAAUGAUCAAACGCCAAAGAAACCAUGAAUGCUGGGAGAAGUAAGAAAUGAAACCACAGUCACCUUCAUCUUUUGUUUUCAUUGUUGUCUGGAUAUUUAUUUCCACACUUGAGUUGACAAAAUUCACAGAUGGCAGCUUUGUUCUUCACGUGCCUGUGGUAUAUGUGGCAUUCUCCGGUGACCUAAUCCUCAACUACACCAUUCCGUCAAAUGUCUCACUUCCAAAUGCCUUCCUUAGGAUUUUGGCGACCAUUGACAAUCACAACCAAAGGGAGAUCACCACAUUCGGCCUACCGUUCGGUGAAUCGUCUGGCAGCGUUAGUGUCCGAUGUGGAAUUCUCGAGAUCGCAGCAGUUCAUGUUGUACAACUUCAUUCUUACGCCGGUGGACCUAUUUUAACGAGUUCGUCUUUUCAAGUAGAUUGGCCUUCAUUCACAUUGAAAUUACCGCCAGACCACAUUGCGCAGACGCAGGCUGUGACGCUGACAUUCCUGUCGUCUGCAAAAUGCAAUCCUCUGUUAAAACGUUAUUCAUUUCAUAUUGAACUAGUCAAAGACCAAAAUGACAGCAUUAACAUUGCUCAAUCUACUGUGUAUCAUGUGACCACUAUAUCCGACAUUGUCUCUCCUCGUCAAGAUAUCCGUUACCCUUGCAAUAUUUUUGAUACCGCUGGAAAUUACAAGGCAAUACUCAGAAACAGUGUGAAUGCAUCUAGUAUAGUUUCACAAAGUGACGUCAUGACAGUCACUUGGAGUAAUGCAUACAGCGUAGAAAUCUAUUCAUCUUCCAUAUUUCCUUGUAUAGGGCAUAUAACAUUAGUGUAUUCAUACCCGGAAUGCAUUGGCAAGAACGAUAAAAUUCGUUUGUACAAAUUAACGAGAAAAAGUGGUUCGAUUGCAGCACCCUACCAACGAAAUUAUAUUCAAGAGAAGAAUGUUGACCCCGAUAGAAAUAACAUUUUCUUUGACUGCUCUCUAUUCCAGAGUCAAGCCUCUGCUUACUUAUUUGAGUAUGUCAGCUUUUCGUCGACUGGCUUGAUAAAGAAGCAGAAAGAACUGUACAUAUCAACGCACCCUGACUCAGAUAUACCAAUAGACGGAGGAUGGGGGCGUUGGUCGCCUUGGGGAUCGUGCAGCGUGACCUGUGGGACGGGGAAGGUCAGUCGCUCAAGGCUCUGCAACAACCCGACCCCUUUACAUGGGGGACGAUUCUGUGAAGGGGAGCCAAUAGAAUGGAAGCCCUGCUUUAACAGUUGUCCAGAACUGAUUCCGAAAACGCCUCUUCAUACCCUUUCCCUCAACAAAUCAUGCAUCUGCGGUUGUGAGAUCAAAUCAAAUCAAGGGGAGAUAAUCGCUACAGGGCGUUGUACGGGUCUCUCUCUGUGGCUUAUAUCUGCUACCAGCAAUCACCAAAUCACUCUGUCUUUCACGUACUUCAAUUUGUUCAAGCAAAAACAGUGGGUGAAAAUUCGCAACGGUGGAACGUCUAGUGCUGACCUUAUAGCCAAAAGUGGCGGCGAACUAGAUCUGAAGAAGGUUGUUUCAACCACUGGAACAAUGCUGAUAGAGUUUAUGACGCUGGUUGAGUCGUCUGCCAAUCUCUCUUACGUCAAUUCAUCGUCUGCUUCUUCCUCGGUUCUGACAUACCCUUCAGAAUUAAUUCAUGUUCAUGGAUUUAUAGCAUCUUACUACAUACAAGUGAAAAAUGAAUCAAGAUUCGUCGCAGCUGUGACCGUUACGGAACCCCCGUCAAAGGCAGGAAUCUGGCAGAGCACGGUGACUAUAGUGGGAAUAUCCCUCUGUGCUGUUAUCAUCGUAGUGGUUGUGAUCAUUGCAAUAUAUCAUAAAGUGUUUCGCAAAAAGACGCACAAGUAUUCUAUGACUAAACAAGAGGAAACCCCUGAACAUCUACCGAAAAGCACGAGCAUGCAUAGCACUCCAAGUCGCCAUAGCGCUUUAAGUCAGGGGAUAGAAAUAGACAUCGACAUGGAGAAACCGCUCACGGGAAAGAGUGCUCGAAAGAAGUAUAGGAAAGAUAGUGAAACUCACAUGUCACGUGGUUCGUCUAUUUCUAGUAACAGAAGCGGUCGUAGUAAAAACAAAAUAAAAAUCAAGGCUGACGUGGAGCCAGGAGGGAGUCCGAAACCCCCCUCCAGGCACUAUACACCUUUACCUAGUCCAUUAGUUCAUAAUGAUCUCAUUCAGGAAGAUGACAGUAAAACUUCUUUAUUUAAUGCAAGUCCGUUAUUAAAUAGGAAAAAUCGUUCACCAAAGAUUCAUCCCUCUCCAAGGUUUAAAAGACAAUCCAAUGGAGGAUCUCCGAUUAAAAGUAAACACGAACUUCUCAUACGUAAGAGAAAAGAUCGGCAAGUUAAGGAUAAAGGCGAGAAGAAGAAAGGUACUCCAGAGACUUUUGAAAAUAGGGCCAAAGAGAAAGUGAAACCACUGGCGACCCCGGACUCAGCCGGAUCCCUCACGCCUACACCCACCGUUCUAAAUGCAAUACCCUCCGUGGAAGGGCAAAAGGGUGUCGAAAAAGACUCAAAAGAAGAAGCGGCCGAGGGAAUAGAUUCAAAAGACGCCAUUGAGCUGAAAGACAUGUCAAAGGAGGACUUGGAGGCAAGAAAGCCCGGAUCUGGAACCUCGGACGAUUCUUGCACUCCCGAAAAAGGUGAAGUUUUCAUGCAACAAACGACUUCUUUUGUGCAAUCGCCCAGCAUAGAACUAAUCAAACUUCGCAGACCCACAUCUCUGACUGAAAGUUAUAAAAAAUCUGUUUCGCUGCCGUCCAUUGAUCGAGUUAUGAAUAGUACGGAGAACAUUGUAAACGUGGAUCGACAGAAAGCUUUGCCAAAGCCAGACGGACAGAGCCCCAAAAGUCCGAGACAGGAAAACUCCAAAACUUCUUCACCGAAAAGUGUUCAGGGCUCCAGUGUCAAUAGUUCUAGGAGUAAACUCACUAUGUCCCCUGCACGGAGUGCAACCUCCCCUUCUGAAAACUUAGAAAUGGAAUAUGAUGAUUACAUUGAAUACGAUGACACUUUCUCUUACUUUGAUCCAUUAGAAACGGAAAAGUUACAAUGGAAAGGUUCGGAGAAAAUUGGAAAACCGAAUCCUUUAUCUAAGGAUGACCCUAAAACCAAAAGUGGUGAUUUAUGAUUUUUUUUAAAGUACAAGUUUAUGGAUUGUUGUGUUCUUUUGGCAUUUCAUAUGUUUUUAAAAAUGAACAUUACUGUAGCGUAAAUGGAUAAUUUACAUAUAAGUGUAUAUUUGUGCUUCUGAAAGGAAUUGUUUGCUGCUUGUGUCAUGCGUGAAAAAUAUUUAUUUAGAAAUAUUUUUAAUUUGUUAACAUUCUGUGAAUUUUUAUCAUGAGAUUCAUACAAAAUUUAUACAAAAAGCCU
rnacentral:misc_RNA from 1 species